UGUUGAUCUUUCAGGUCUUUGCCUUAAUAGUUGCUGUUUGCGCAGAGUUUGGCUACCAGGAAUGUUUACUGAGUAUUUGUUGGCCAGCUGUCCAACCCCUUCCAUCCUGCCCCUCUAAAGAGGGUUUCAUCAGAUCCCAUUAAAACCCGGGAGCUUAUUUUAAGACUGUAGACCCUACGAGGCCUCUGGAGCAUUUGUGCUUCUUAUCCUCGUGCAUCAUUUUUUCCACAUUCGCUGCAAUACUCCUUGUUAAGCUUCUAAAAGGCUUUCAGAUGAACCAUAUGGAGAACUAUAUAGGACGUGGGUGCCAAGGAGGCGAAAGGAAACAUCCCAAGAAAAGGCAAAAAGUUUAGCAACUCACCAGCAGUGAUGUUUUCCAUUUUCCUCUGGAAUAAGGAGUGGUAACGGUUCUAGUUGCCAAUACUGCUGAGCUGCUGGAGCCACAUCUCCUGAUUCUGAGGUGUUGUGGCAGCAGAAGAGGCA
rnacentral:lncRNA from 1 species